rnacentral:rRNA from 1 species
GCGGACGGGUGAGUAACACGUGGAUAACCUACCUAUAAGACUGGGAUAACUUCGGGAAACCGGAGCUAAUACCGGAUAAUAUAUUGAACCGCAUGGUUCAAUAGUGAAAGACGGUUUUGCUGUCACUUAUAGAUGGAUCCGCGCCGCAUUAGCUAGUUGGUAAGGUAACGGCUUACUAAGGCAACGAUGCGUAGCCGACCUGAGAGGGUGAUCGGCCACACUGGAACUGAGACACGGUCCAG